GCUCGGUUGGCUCAUUGGGAAGAGCGUUUAAGAUGUCUGGAAGUCAGCAGCAGGUCUUAAAAGAAGGAGGUUCGAUUCCUUCACCGAGCA